UCAGGUGCCUGUGCCACAAGGAGUUUGUGAGGCUGGAUGGGAGGUUCUCCACCAACUGAUGCUCCCUGGCACAGGGUUCCGAGUCCUGAGCCAGAUCGGGGAAAUGACUCACUUAAAAGAAGUCUUUAUCAACCACAGCAGAAUCCACAGUUAUAUGGCUUCUGGGAAUUUCCAGGUUUUCAGGUGCUAAGUGAGGGAGGAAGAGGGUAUGAAGCCUCCUGGCACAGAGUUGCUGGCAAUGCUCUGCCCUGCUGGCCCUGCUGCCUUCACCAUCAGCCACUCAGGUAUAGAAAAUGCAGCUACCUCUUAGGAGUCCAGAGAGGAGGUCUAACUUAGGACUCAGGCCAGUGGCUCUACCAUCUACCAGAACCUGUGAUCUUGGACAAGUGAUUGAAUUCUGUGGAUCCUCCAUUUCUUCAAAAUCGAUAAAAUGGGGCAAUAAUGGUAUUUCUCUCUUAGAGUUGUUAUGAGGGUUAAAUAAAGUAAUCCAUAUAAACUAUUUAGCACAGGGUUUGACGCAAUGUAAGUGCUCAAUAGAUAUUACUUAUUUUGAUCUGCAAAG
rnacentral:lncRNA from 10 species